UUAAGAUGAUAUCGGUGGCUGCGGUUUAGACACAAUAACAAUCAAAGUAAUGAAAACAAUGAGAAUAAUGACAAUUUUGAUUCUGCGCAAAAUAAUCACAAUCCUUAUUACAUCUUAUUGCAUCCAUCCAAGUGAGGGGAAAUUAAGAACAAGUUGGACUUUCUUGAUGGCACAAUUCCUCUCCCUGAUACUUUUGAUCCAGCACAUAAGUUUUGACUUCAAUGCAAUAGUUUGGUUCUUUCAUGGAUCAUAAAUUUUGUGUCUCCUUCAAUUGCACAAUGUUUGGCUUUUAAAGGUAAUGCUCAUAGUGUUUGGAAUUAAUGAGCUCAAAGAUAGUUUUCUCAAAGUGAUUUGAUUCUUAUUUCAGAUUACAAAAGGAAAUUAGUUCUUUAAAACAAGGUGAUUCUAUUGUUUCUAAGUCCUCAAUGUCCUUGUGAUCUUUCUAAGUAUACUAAAAAAGAUAAAGUUAUUAUCUUCUUGACUGGUUUGAAUGAACAGUUUGAAGUUAUGAAAUCUCAAGUACUUUUUGUUGAUCCUUUACUAAACAUAAACAAGGUUCUUUCUUUGAUAUUUCAACAAGAAAGGCAACAUGGGACUUUUAAUGAUAACUUUGAUUCCACAUCUUUUGCCAAUGAUGCUGAUGGUAAAAGAGGUUAUGGAAAAGGUAAGAAUGGAAGCAAGUAUUGCACUUUUUGUGGAAGAAUUGGACAUACUGCAUAGACAUGCUUAUGGAAACAUGGUUUUCCUUCAAAACCAAAGGGUAAUGGCUGCUCAAAUAAUGCUUGUGGUGAUCAUGAUGAUAAGUCAGAUGAUGAUUAAGGUAAUGAAAAAGAUGACUUAUCAAAGGAUCAGUCACCUUUCACCCAGGAACGAGUUUAAAGUAUAAUGAAUUUGGGUCAGAUAACAAAUAAUGGAUCAGGUGGUGCUGCAAAUGGAUCAGAUGCAUGAUGAGUUUGUGUAAAUCAGAGGCAUACAAGGGCUUUAGAGGUAUUCUUCAAAUUCAGUCUUCAAAUAAUCUUCAGAGGCAAUCUUCAUACUCAGUUUCAGUGCCAUUCUUCAGAGGCAGUCUUUAGACCCAGUCUUCAAACCCAAACUUCAGAUCCAUACAUCAUAGACAAUCUUUGUAACCUUCAGAGGCGUGUUACUUUCAGUGGUAUAUGCUCAAAUGCAGACACUCUAUAAGCUAAGUUUCCUUAUUUAAGCACUCUAUAAGCUUUAGAUAUUUUAGAGUAUCAAAUGAAGGUGCACUUUUGUGAUAUGGAAUCAAACUUACCAAGGUUGUCUUUAGUAUUUAACAUAUAACAAGUAUAACCAAAUUAUUUAAAUUAAGAGAUGUUAGGUUUUUUACCCUUCCAUAAUUCAUAUGGUGUUUUAUUCAGUAUUGACCUAAUUAUGAUUUUAUUUUGAAUAUAACAUGUAGUGGUGAAUUCUGAAGGUGCAAAUAUGUUGUCGUUAAUAAGUUAA